rnacentral:rRNA from 1 species
UGGGGGAUAUUGCACAAUGGGCGAAAGCCUGAUGCAGCGACGCCGCGUGGGGGAUGAAGGCCUUCGGGUUGUAAACUUCUUUUGCUCUGAACAAGGCGCACCAUGGGGUGUGUUGAGUGUAGGGGUUGAUUAGCGCCGGCUAACUACGUGCCAGCAGCCGCGGUAAUACGUAGGGCGCGAGCGUUGUCCGGAAUUAUUGGGCGUAAAGGGCUUGUAGGUGGCUGGUUGCGUCGGUCGUUAAAGCUCAUGGCUUAACUGUGGGUUUGCGGUGGGUACGGGCUGGCUUGAGUGCAGUAGGGGAGGCUGGAAUUCCUGGUGUAGCGGUGGAAUGCGCAGAUAUCAGGAGGAAUACCGGUGGCGAAGGCGGGUCUCUGGGCUGUUACUGACACUGAGGAGCGAAAGCAUGGGGAGCGAACAGG